rnacentral:rRNA from 1 species
UACGGAGGGUGCAAACGUUGCUCGGAAUUAUUGGGCGUAAAGCGCGCGUAGGCGGUGCGGCCAGUCGGGUGUGAAAGCCCUCGGCUCAACCGAGGAAGUGCAUCCGAAACUACCGUACUUGAGUACCGGAGAGGAUGACGGAAUUCCCGGUGUAGAGGUGAAAUUCGUAGAUAUCGGGAGGAACACCAGCGGCGAAGGCGGUCAUCUGGACGGAUACUGACGCUGAGGCGCGAAAGCGUGGGGAGCAAACAGG